rnacentral:rRNA from 1 species
UACGUAGGGGGCAAGCGUUGUCCGGAAUCAUUGGGCGUAAAGAGCGUGUAGGCGGUCCGGUAAGUCGGCUGUGAAAGUCCAGGGCUCAACCCUGGGAUGCCGGUCGAUACUGCCGGACUAGAGUCCGGAAGAGGCAAGUGGAAUUCCCGGUGUAGCGGUGGAAUGCGUAGAGAUCGGGAAGAACAUCGGUGGCGAAGGCGGCCUGCUGGGCUGUUGCUGACACUGAGGCGCGACAGCGUGGGGAGCAAACAGG